rnacentral:rRNA from 1 species
ACUCCUACGGGAGGCAGCAGUGGGGAAUAUUGCACAAUGGGCGCAAGCCUGAUGCAGCCAUGCCGCGUGUGUGAAGAAGGCCUUCGGGUUGUAAAGUACUUUCAGCAGUGAGGAAGGCGGAGUCGUUAAUAGCGGCCUCGUUUGACGUUAGCUGCAGAAGAAAGCACCGGCUAACUCCGUGCCAGCAGCCGCGGUAAUACGGAGGGUGCGAGCGUUAAUCGGAAUUACUGGGCGUAAAGCGCAUGCAGGUGGUUUGUUAAGUCAGAUGUGAAAGCCCGGGGCUCAACCUCGGAAUUGCAUUUGAAACUGGCAGACUAGAGUACUGUAGAGGGGGGUAGAAUUUCAGGUGUAGCGGUGAAAUGCGUAGAGAUCUGAAGGAAUACCGGUGGCGAAGGCGGCCCCCUGGACAGAUACUGACACUCAGAUGCGAAAGCGUGGGGAGCAAACAGGAUUAGAUACCCUGGUAGGAUAGCG